AUACAUCGGAACAUGUCCUGUAGUGGGGGAUAGCCCGGCGAAAGCCGGAUUAAUACCGCAUACGAUCUGAGGAUGAAAGCGGGGGACCUUCGGGCCUCGCGCUAUAGGGUUGGCCGAUGGCUGAUUAGCUAGUUGGUGGGGUAAAGGCCUACCAAGGCGACGAUCAGUAGCUGGUCUGAGAGGACGACCAGCCACACUGGGACUGAGACACGGCCCAGACUCCUACGGGAGGCAGCAGUGGGGAAUUUUGGACAAUGGGCGAAAGCCUGAUCCAGCAAUGCCGCGUGUGUGAAGAAGGCCUUCGGGUUGUAAAGCACUUUUGUCCGGAAAGAAAUCCUUGGUUCUAAUAUAGCCGGGGGAUGACGGUACCGGAAGAAUAAGCACCGGCUAACUACGUGCCAGCAGCCGCGGUAAUACGUAGGGUGCAAGCGUUAAUCGGAAUUACUGGGCGUAAAGCGUGCGCAGGCGGNUUGCUAANACCGAUGUGAAAUCCCCGGGCUCAACCUGGGAACUGCAUUGGUGACUGGCANGNUAGAGUAUGGCAGANGGGGGUAGAAUUCCACGUGUAGCAGUGAAAUGCGUAGAG
rnacentral:rRNA from 1 species